CCUGCCCCUUAAAGUGUCCUUCAUGACAUGAAGCCACAUCAGUGGGCACCAUGUUCACAUGGGGGAAUCCGUGCUUUUUUGCAGGACCUACAAUUGCAGGAUAAUUCAGAUUGGAGUGGGCCCUGGGAGGUCUCCAGUGCAACCUGCUGCAUACCUGGGCGGAGGACGAAGAGUACCUUUUCUCAUCUGUCACUCCUGGAGAGCAGAGGGUGGUCUGCAAGACCAACACUGGUUUCUGCAAAGUUUCUGACUGGUAGGUGGUGAAUUACAGUUAGAGAUGUGGUCAACAUGGGUAGCUGGACUGUCUUCUCAUCCACAGAUGUCGUAGGCCUCCAGGAUGGGUUGAAGCGUAUAUAGCGUUUGGGUCAUCUUGAGAUCCUACAUCCAGACAUGAGAUUCAUACAGGAGCCCAGCACUUCAAACACAGAGCUCUGGACUCCUCUCAUCAUGGAGGAUGGCACAUGGAGACACGCAGUUGCAGAGGAGUGAGCCAUAACAUCUCCAUUUAACUGAUGGGGAGCUGCACCAUGAAGAGAUUCGGUGGGAUUCAGACAGAGAGGCAGAGACAGCGGUGGGGAGCAGGGUUGUGGCAACAGGGACAACUUUGCCCACAGUGGAGGACAAGGGCUCUCGAGGUCUUCAUUAGCAGUACCUGAUUCAUGGCACUACACCUGGAUCCAAGAAUGAAGACUUCCUGAUGGGAAUGAGAAUCGACUCAGAAGAGGAUUUUUCCAAAGUGCUAAAGAAACAGAAAUGAUGGAGGGAACUGGGGAUUUCAGGCCUUGUGCACUUGAAAAAAAAACACCCUUAGCCUCUCCUUUUGACCUGAGAAAU